GCCGGCGUGUGGAGUCAGGUGUGGAGCCUGAGCACAGCUGGCUCUAAUUUGUGGAGC
ensembl:miRNA